GCUAUCCCCUUCUCAUGCUAGUAUUUACAGUAAUUGGCCAACAUAGGUCAUGUACUGGUGCUUUCAAGACAACUGGGAACUCGGGAGAAACGAUGUCAUAUCAUGACGUCAGUGAUCUUCAGGUCAGGAAGUCAGAGCUCGAGAAAGCUACCCGAGUUCCCUUGGAUUGUUCAAAACUAUUUUUGUCUUGAACGCUCGGGAAGUUGGAGAAUUCCGAGUUCCCAGUUGUUUUGAACGCGGCAUUACGAAUCAAGAGACUUCUUUCAGGACUGUGACCUUGGAUUAUAAUGAUGGUGAUGACUGUGAUGAUACAGAGGGAAUCGCUGAACAUGCAACAAAACCAGAAGUCACAGAAGCCAUUUCAAUGAGCCGUCCUCGUAUAACUCCUCCCUCCAGCCUCCUCUGCAACGCACUGUCUGAAUCAAGGACAAGUGCCCAUAAUUCCCACCCGUACGUCAUUAUACACUCUUUUCCCCUUGUACUUUCUCUGAAAUUUCAGCAUGAAUGUUGUAUGUUUAUAAUACGUUAAAAAACUUGCUCGUUACCUAAGGUUAUGCCAUACUUUCUGUUUCAUGCUCUUGUUUGAUGUAGAUAGGCUCUAGCCAAGUACUGUAGUUGAGAUUUCUCAAAGCCUACUGAAAGCCCUUGCUCUUAGGGCCGCUGUGGUUCACUGUGUUUACGCUAUCUGCUUUCAGUUACCACUAAAGCCUUUCAGUGAGGGAUAUGAGGCUGCAUUCCUCAGGGACAGAAUGCGAAGGCUCUGCAGAAGAUCAGGACCUCCUUUCUUGCUGUUCUCCCCUACGGAAAGCCUGGGGGACAUACUGUACAGGAAAACCAAGCAUGUGUUUGACUACACAGUCACGGACAUGAAAGACAAAAAGCCCGAUGUUUCAAGGUGUGGUUCCAAUCUAAACCAGUGUGUUAAACCAGCCCUUCCAGUACGGAAGGGCUUCAAUGUAUCCACAUCUAGGUACAGCCAGAGAAGGGUACAAUCAAUUGAUCAGAUGACGGUGAUCAGAAAAGAUCAUGUCGGUAGGCCUUUACUGAUGCUGAAAGGCAAUGCAAGUCUAACCAACAGUGAUGGAAGCAACAACACGGAUUCAUUUGCUUAUUCAUCCAGACUCACAAAGGGAAAACCAUCAACCUCCUCUCAGCCAGGACCUGUCAUCAGGAUCCCACCAGUAUUAACCAGGAAGCAUUCUGACAUCAUCAGAGAGGAAAGAAAGAGGCACUACUACAAAGACCUGUGUCAGCAGGUGGAGGAGAAGAGACAACAAAAAGCAAGGGAGAGGAGAAGGAUUACCGCCGCCGAACAAACUCACAAUGAGACAAUGCAGUUCUGCACCUGGGGGAUGCCAGGGAGCGGAGCCCCAAACUACCACCUGGACUCUGUGAGAAGGAACAAGUUCAGUUCCACAGAAAUGAUACCCCAGGAACAGCUCCGCUGUAAAGGCUUCAGCGGGAUCCCUUUUCAUCUGCAUGUCAAAUGACGGCCAUUUUAUGGUCCCCCAGCCCAGACGAUUGAUGCUCAGCUCAGACAACUGAUAAACCCAUUAAACUAACGCAGUAGUAGACCAAACACUGCGCUCUGCUGACUUCUGUCCCAUAGGUGGUAGAUAAGUCAUCGAUUAGCUGGAUUUCAGCACUCCUUGGCACUUGUAUCUAUUGAUUAAUUUACUGUUUCAAACUACCAUGCGGGCAUAACCACACUCAAAACAAUUCUGGAACUAAGGUUUUACACAUUCUGAUGGUGUUCAAAUCAGUUGUAAUGGUAGCGAUGCACAUAAACAGUAAGAUAUAUAUAUAUAUAUAUAUAUCAUACACACACAUAAAUGCUACAGUGGUAAUUGACAGAUCGAUAGCAUGGUGAGAUAAUGAAUAGAAACAGUAGCUCACUAAAGAUAAGACUGUACACAAAAAAAAGCUCCUAACUGGUCGCGAAAGUGAUAAGAUACUGUCUGCCUACAGUCAAAGAAUUCUUCUUUUUUUUUUCAUCAUAUUUUAACCAUUUUAUAUGAGUAAUUUUGUAUGUAUAUUGAAGCCAGAGUUGUAGUGAAAUAAAACUCUCCUGUCAGAUUAAGAGACUGGGUG
rnacentral:lncRNA from 1 species